GAGGGUUUUUUUUGUUUGUUUCUUUAUUGUUUUUGGACAGUAAAUAUUUGAAAUUUUCCUAGGAUCAGUAAUGAAGGUACACAGAGUACUUUGGGUAGCUAUAAAGAAGACUGCUGCAUGUGAUACGUAUAUUCUUAUGAGGGCAUUUAUAAAAACAGGUUGCAGUGAAAAUGGAAUAACUUAACCUAUAAUCAUUUUAUAUAUUACAAAUUGUAUAAGCCUCUUUCAUUACAGAAAUAUUCAAUCUUUAUAAACCGUUUUACUAGUUUACUUGAUAAGAUGUUGGUUUGUUUCAAAGUCUUGUUUCAUUAUGUGUCCCCUUUUUAUAUGCUUGGUAAGAGACGGAAGUCACGAGGUGAGAGAUGUUAAAAGUAGGAAGCAUUUGAUCUCUUGUUAGGAAGAAGAUGUGAAAUUUCCUUGAAGAAAGUUUUAAUAAUAAGGUAUUAAACAUUUUCCUGGGGUUGGUCACCAUUAUCUCCUAUUCCUCUUUCUUUUCCCGUUCCUAUCACCCUUUCCCAUCCAUUUUAUGUUGAGCGUUCUUUCAUUUAUGGAGAGGAUUUUUAAAACUACUUCAUAUUAUGACUUUAAAGGGUUAUAGUAAGUUUGCUUUAUCAUUUAAUCCUGUAAAUAAAAAAGAUUUUGAGCUGCUUCCUCUGGUAUAGAAUAUCUGACUAUACCAACUAAGGAUUAAGGAAAGGAUGAAAAGAAAGCUUGAAUAUUUAAUAGUCUAAAAAUAUUUUUAAAAAUUAAAAACCUUCAAAUCUUGGUAACUAUUUUUAUUGUGUUCAAAUAAAUGCAUUUGGUAUUCUAAAUAUUUUUGUAGUGUUCUAUACUAACAGCUAGUAAACCAGUUUUUUGGAGGUCUUUGUUAAAACGGUAAGUUAAUAACUUGGUGAUUUUACCAUGGGAUAUUCCAUUUUAGAACAAGAACUCAAGGAGAACCAUAAUAAAAGAACAAAAGUUUUAAAUGGUGAAAGUCAAAUCCUUGGUUCAUGAGCACAUGCCAUGAUCACUCAGUUAAGUGAAUUUGUGUAGUACUUCCUUAGCCAGAUCGUUCCUUAUUCUUUGUUUUUUAUUUUUUAUUUUUGAGACAGAGUUUCGCUCUUGUCGCCCAGGCUGUAGUGCAGUGGUACAGUCUCAGCUCACUGGAACCUCUGCCUCCCGGGUUCAAGUGAUUCUCCUGCCUCAGCCUCCUGAGUAGCUGGGAUUACAGGCACCUGCCACCAUGCCCUGCUAAUUUUGCAUUUUUAGUAGAGACAGGAUUUCACCAUGUUGGCCAGGCUGGUCUCAAACUCCUGACCUCAAGUAAUCUGCCCUCAUUGGCCUCCCGAAGUGCUGGGAUUACAGGCGUGAGCCACUGCGCCCAGCCUGUUCCUUAUACUCUUUAAAGGUUUGUUUUUUCUCCUUACUCUUUACCCUCCCCUCCAGUGAAUGUUUUUUAGAAAAACCAAUGCUCAGAUUUAUCAGUAUUACUAUCAUUCUGUACUGGCUUACUUUAGUGGUGUUAUGAGUUAUACAUUAUACAUUAAUAUAAAAACAUUCAAAAGGGUACUCUUUAUGCUCAGUUUAUUAAGUUUUAUGCUGUACUGGAUACUGUUAGGUGCUACGUUAAUUCAGUAGCAUAGGAAUUAUAGAAUACCUGUAACCAAUAGAGGUUAGCUUGUUUCAGUCACAGUAGCUUUACUGCAGCAUUGCUGUUAAAAUGUUAAUCUUUUGUUUUCCAGAUGGCUAUUGAUCAGGCCCACAGGCAGAAUGUCUCCUCUCUUUUUCUCCCAGUGAUUGAAUCUGUGAAUCCCUGCUUAAUUCUAGUGGUGCGUAGAGAAAAUAUUGUAGGAGAUGCAAUGGAAGUCCUUAGGAAAACAAAGAACAUAGAUUACAAGAAGCCACUCAAGGUUAUAUUUGUUGGAGAAGAUGCUGUGGAUGCAGGAGGGGUGCGCAAAGAAUUUUUCUUGCUCAUCAUGAGGGAAUUAUUGGAUCCUAAAUAUGGCAUGUUUAGGUAUUAUGAAGAUUCCAGGCUCAUUUGGUUUUCUGAUAAGGUAAAAUGUCCAACCAUCUAAAUUACUUCUGUGUAUAUACCCAUGUAUUUAUACCUGUAUGUAUAAAGUUAAUUCAGUAAAUAAGGAAUUACUUCUGGAUCCCUAACAUAUAAGAUCUGCUUUAUUACAAUUUGAGAAGUUAUAAACUUUGGACUUGGAGUUGUCAAAAUACAUUUGAUGCUUACCAAACAUUUUAAAUUAACAAAAUAAAUUAAGAGAUGGUUAGCCAGAAAAUAAUGUUGACUAUUCCUUCUGCUAAUUUCAAUUUGAGGAUUGAAUAAUAAUCACCAGAUUAACUUUUCUUCUGGGAGAAAUUAAUUUAUCAUUAGGGAUCACUGGUUUAUCUACCUUGUCAUUUAGAGCAGGAGAGCAGACUAUAGCCCAUUAAUCUCAAA
rnacentral:sRNA from 1 species